GACGAACGCUGGCGGCGUGCUUAACACAUGCAAGUCGAACGGAAAGGCCCUGCUUGCAGGGUACUCGAGUGGCGAACGGGUGAGUAACACGUGUGUGAUCUGCCCUGCACUUCGGGAUAAGCCUGGGAAACUGGGUCUAAUACCGGAUAGGAGCCAUUUUUAGUGUGAUGGUUGGAAAGUUUUUUCGGUGUAGGAUGAGCUCGCGGCCUAUCAGCUUGUUGGUGGGGUAAUGGCCUACCAAGGCGGCGACGGGUAGCCGGCCUGAGAGGGUGGACGGCCACAUUGGGACUGGGAUACGGCCCAGACUCCUACGGGAGGCAGCAGUGGGGAAUAUUGCACAAUGGGCGCAAGCCUGAUGCAGCGACGCCGCGUGGGGGAUGACGGCCUUCGGGUUGUAAACUCCUUUCGCUAGGGACGAAGCUUUUUGUGACGGUACCUAGAUAAGAAGCACCGGCUAACUACGUG
rnacentral:rRNA from 1 species